rnacentral:rRNA from 1 species
GACGAACGCUGGCGGCGUGCUUAACACAUGCAAGUCGAACGGUGAAGCGCCUUCCUUUUUGGUGGGUGUGGAUGAGUGGCGAACGGGUGAGUAACACGUGAGAAACCUGCCCCCUUCUUCUGGAUAACCGCAUGAAAGUGUGGCUAAUACGGGAUAUUCUGGGUCUGUCGCAUGAUGGGUCUGGGAAAGAUAUUGUUUCGGUGGGGGAUGGGCUCGCGGCCUAUCAGCUUGUUGGUGGGGUGAUGGCCUACCAAGGCGGUGACGGGUAGCCGGCCUGAGAGGGUGGACGGUCACACUGGGACUGAGACACGGCCCAGACUCCUACGGGAGGCAGCAGUGGGGAAUAUUGCACAAUGGGCGCAAGCCUGAUGCAGCGACGCCGCGUGAGGGAUGGAGGCCUUCGGGUUGUGAACCUCUUUCGCCAGUGAAGCAGGCCUGCCUCGUUUGUGGGUGGGUUGACGGUAGCUGGAUAAGAAGCGCCGGCUAACUACGUG